AGCCGAUGCAGACGUCGGUGAAAACGCCGUCGGGGUCGACGACACCUUGAAUGGUGACGGUGUAGGAUGUCUUCUGGUUGCGUUCGGUGUGGCGGCGGUUGAAGUAGGCGGCGAUGCCGAUCUUGGGGGCGAUAAUGGGGAUGUGAGUUGUGUACAUGGCACCCACGACAUUGGGGAUGCCGGAGAUACCCUCGAAGCGCGCAGCUCCGGCGGCCGCAUCGGAUGGGCCGGGCCAUAAGAGCGAUCGCGGCAUAAGCACGUUCCGGAUGGCGGUGCAGACCUCGAGAAUGAGCUUAUGGCAGGUGGAGAUACCAAGUCCGAAGCGCCGGGAGACAAGCCGGAGAGGCUCCCCGGUGGCGAGGCGCCACACGCACACGGCAACGCGCUGCCGGACGGGAAUGGCAGAGCGGAGCGCCGUGUCCUCCUUGGCCACGGCGGAGCCGAGCUCUUCGCAGAGGAAGUCGAAAGUGGCGCGGGACAUCCGAAAGGCGCGCCGGAAUUCGUCCUCCGGGAGGUCCGGAUGGUUGUACCGGUCCCACCAGUCGCGGGACCGGUCCUUGACCCAGAGCCGGCGUUGCCCGGGCUGCAACGGCGGCGGCGCAGCCUGUGGCUCCUCCCCUGAGGCGUCAUCGUCGGCGUGCGGGGGGGAAGAGGAGGCGAAGGGCUUCAAGGCAACGAGCCGGCUGGGGGAUAAGUCAUCCGCUCGCGGGCGCUUCUUGACUUUGGAUUCCAUGGCCAGGGGGAGAGCGGAAUGGGGUUGAGGAUCGGGGAGGACGGCGGUGGCGGGGUCGUGGAAAAAGGAGUAGUAAUAGGAGAAGAGGUCGUCGUCGAACGAGGCGGCGGGGACAAGCGAAGGAGUCUGAUAAGUGGUCAUGAAUGAUCCCAGUGGCGGCGGGGGUUUCCUUCGUUCGUCUGCAACUCGAGCUCAAGAAUUUUG
rnacentral:lncRNA from 1 species